CUAUUAAUUUGGAACCAUUUGCAAGUGAGGAGAUAAUUGGUUUUGAUUGGGUGUACAAUUUUGGACCACACAACCCUAUCAUUUCUCUCUCACUCCCGUACCCUCUCUCUCUCAUAGAACCCUCUCUCUCCUCCCUCUCGGUUUCUCUCUCUCCUUCGAACCGUACGGACAAAGAACAAAACCCUUGCAAACUUCGCAGAUCGAGGAUUAUAAAGUCACCAUUGUGUUCGUGAGGACCCUACGAGCACAUCCAUACCCAUUUCAGGACGAUCCAAGCUCACGGCGAGCUCUAGGAGGUUCCCACGAAGCUCGGAGUGCUUCGUUGCGUCGAUUUGGAUGUCGGGAUCACGAAGUCCCAAGGUGACCGGUUUUUGGGAAAUUGCUCCGUCGAGAUUCAGACGUUUUUAAAGGUUUUUUAAGGCGCCGAUCGUCAUGACAACUUGAUGUGUUGUGCUAGGGAGUUGUAGGGCGAAUUCUAGG